GAGCUUUCUGAGGGAAGAAACAUUUUUUUAAGAAGAGCAAGAGACGAAAAAAAGCCAACCACACAGGGAAGAGGAAACAUCUGAGGUACGAGGCGAAUAAUAGUGAACGAAGCUCCAAGAGGUAAGAAUUGUCAUGUGUCAGUGAGUUGUUUCCUUGUUUUUGUUUUUUUGGUUUUUAUUUUCUUUUCCACCUAAACUUAUCCUAGAUGCCACUAUCAUCUCCUAUUUGUCAUUUUUUUUUUUAUUUUUACUUUUCCUUUGUGUGCGUUAUUAUUACUUUUAUAAUUUUCGUUUAUUUCUUUUGGUAGUUUUCCUUUAUACGUAUUUAUUUAUAUGAAUUAAAAAAAAAAGAAUAAAACCACAAAACUAAAAAAAAUAGUUUUAAAAUUUUUUAACACUUAGCACUAGACGUAGUUUUAACUUAU
rnacentral:lncRNA from 1 species